rnacentral:rRNA from 1 species
UACGUAGGGUGCGAGCGUUAAUCGGAAUUACUGGGCGUAAAGCGUGCGUAGGCGGUUGGCAAAGUCAGCUGUGAAAGUCCAGGGCUCAACCCUGGAAUGCCGGUGGAAACUGUCGAGCUCGAGUCCGGAAGAGGCGAGUGGAAUUCCUGGUGUAGCGGUGAAAUGCGCAGAUAUCAGGAGGAACACCAGUGGCGAAGGCGGCUCACUGGACUGGUAUUGACGCUGAGGUGCGAAAGCGUGGGGAGCAAACAGG